rnacentral:rRNA from 1 species
UACGGAGGGUGCAAGCGUUGUUCGGGUUUACUGGGCGUAAAGGGCGCGUAGGCGGCUUGGUAAGUCGGGUGUGAAAUCCUUCCGCUUAACGGAAGAAGUGCACCCGAAACUGCCUUGCUCGAGUUUAGGAGAGGAGAGCGGAAUUCCCGGUGUAGAGGUGAAAUUCGUAGAUAUCGGGAGGAACACCCGUGGCGAAAGCGACUCUCUGGCCUAAUACUGACGCUGAGGCGCGAAAGCGUGGGGAGCAAACCGG